rnacentral:misc_RNA from 1 species
GAUGAAGAACGUAGCGAAAUGCGAUAACUAAUGUGAAUUGCAGAAUUCCGUGAAUCAUCGAGUCUUUGAACGCACAUUGCGCCCCCUGGUAUUCCGGGGGGCAUGCCUGUCCGAGCGUCAUUACAACCCUCAAGCCCGGCUUGUGUAAUGGGCGGCCGUCUCUCCCCCCGGGGGGAGACGCCCCCGAAACUCAGUGGGGAUGUCGCGAUACCGAAGCCUCAGCUAAUGGGUAAACCACAGCUGCAAUGGCCGCGGCCGGCGUCCGCCUUCCACGGCCCGUCCGCCUAGCGCGGGCGGCCUUCUCAAGGUUGACCUCGGAUCAGGUAGGGAUACCCGCUGAACUUAAGCAUAUCAAUAAGCGGAGGA